GUUCCGCCCACUGUAUAAGGUGCCGUCUGACAGAGAAUACUGCGACGGACUCAGGGAAUUAGGUACCGACAUUGGUCGAACUCCUAGGCUGCCCCCGCAACGGUAUGUGUGAAAACACAAGCCCGGAACCUGCCCUUAACAGCGAUGCAAAC
rnacentral:ncRNA from 1 species